rnacentral:SRP_RNA from 1 species
GCUGGGCAUGGUGGCGCAUGCCUGUAAUCCCAGCUACUUGGGAGACUGAGGCAGGAGAAUCACUUGAACCCAGGAGGCAGAGGUUGCAGUGAGCACAGAUCAUGCCACUGCAUUCCAGCCUGGGCAACAGAGUGAGACUCCGUCUCAA